rnacentral:tRNA from 1 species
ACAUUGGUAGUUCAGUGGUAGAAUUCUCUCCUUCCAUGCAGGAGACCCAGGUUAGAUUCCUGGCCGAUGCC